rnacentral:tRNA from 1 species
UAGGUUGUAGCUCAGUGUUGGAGUGCUUGCCUAGCAUGCAGGAAGUCUUGGGUUUGAUGCCCCAGCCUAU